rnacentral:rRNA from 1 species
UCGCCUGUUUAUCAAAAACAUAGCUAUUAGAUGAUAUUACAUGGUUUUACCUGCCCAAUGUUAUAUAUGAAUGGCCGCGGUACUCUGACCGUGCUAAGGUAGCGUAAUCAGUUGACCUUUAAAUGAGGUCAGGAAUGAAUGGAAUAACCGGGUUUAGCUGUCUCUGUGUCACUAUAUUGAAUUUACUAUCUAAGUGAAAAAGCUUAGGGUUAAAAAAGGGAGGAGAAGACCCUUAGAAUUUUUUUUAAAAGAAAAUAAAAUUUUCUUACAAUUUUAUUGGGGCGAUAAAGAAAUAAUUAAAACUUUCUUUUAUUACAAGCCGAUUAUAUUAAGUGAGAAUAAAUUACCUGAGGGAUAACAGCAUAAUUCUAUAAAUGAGUUUGUGACCUCGAUGUUGGACUAGGAAACUAGCAGGCUAGCCGUUUGCUGUGUUAGGUUCUGUUCGAACUUUUAUUCCU